GAUCUGGAGGACGAGUGCAUGC
rnacentral:siRNA from 1 species